rnacentral:lncRNA from 1 species
GUGCUGAGUCCAGCACAGCUCUCCAGGUCUAUUCUGAUUGGUCAGUAUCUGUGCUACUCGACUUGUUAAAUAUCAGCCUUGCAUUUACCUAGUGUGAUUUGAAGAGUUCUGGUUACUUUGUCUCUCCAUUAAAGAGAAGUGGGGAUUUUAGCAGGUGUUCGAGACCAGUCUAGCCAACAUGGUGAAACCCUGUCUCUACUAAAAAUACAAAAAGUUAGCCAGGUGUGGUGGCAGCCGCCUGUAAUCCCAG